CCACACUAGUCGGGAAGUUAGCGGUGUCCUGAACCUGCAAUCCGCUAUAGCAGGGAUGAAUUCCGCCUCGAGGGCAUCUGCCGUACAGUCAGCCUUGAGCCGCGCGGCGUUGAGAGACAGGUCUUGCGCAAUCGGAACUUGUGAACCAUGUCAGGCGGGGAACCGAGCAGCAUUAAGCAAAUCCUCCGGUGUGCCGCGAGAGCGCCUGUCUUGAGCUUCGCACUCAAGUAACGUGUAUGGCCGCUGUUCGACAGGCGGUGUGUGG
rnacentral:SRP_RNA from 1 species